rnacentral:tRNA from 3 species
CGGGCUAUGGCGCAGCUUGGUAGCGCGCUUGCAUGGGGUGCAAGAGGUCGUCAGUUCAAAUCUGGUUAGCCCGA